GGAAAAUUGGUGGAUUUCAAGGAAUCAAGCAAUCAAAGGUGGUGAGCCCUCUAACAAAGUUAAAGAAAUUGUGCCCGAAGAUCGAGAAUAGCGAGUAUAUCGAACUCCUAGUACUGUUUAGAAUAGAUUGUAGAUAACUGAUAACAGCGACGA